rnacentral:ncRNA from 1 species
UCUUGGUGGUAGUAGCAAAUACUCAAAUGAGAACUUUGAGGACUGAAGUGGGGAAAGGUUCCAUGUGAACAGCAGUUGGACAUGGGUUAGUCGAUCCUAAGGCAUAGGGAAGUUCCGUUUGAAAGGCGCCCUCGUGCGCCGUGUGCCGAAAGGGAAGCCGGUUAAUAUUCCGGCACCUGGAUGUGGAUUCUCCACGGCAACGUAACUGAACGCGGAGACAUCGGCGGGGGUCCUGGGAAGAGUUCUCUUUUCUUCUUGACGGCCUAUCACCCUGAAAUCGGUUUGUCCGGAGCUAGGGUUCCACGGCCGGCAGAGCCCUGCACCUUUGCAGGGUCCGGUGCGCCCCCGACGAUCCUUGAAAAUCCGCGGGAAGGAAUAGUUUUCACGCCAGGUCGUACUCAUAACCGCAGC